GAUUUUAAAUUAUGCCAAAGAACUCGAGGAGAUGUAGCAUGCGACUAAACAAGAAUUCAUAGCCUCGCUUAGAAGGAAUAGUAGCGGUUUUUCAAGGGGAGCAUCGAUAUAUAGGGGUGUUACAAGGCAUCAUCAACAAGGUCGAUGGCAAGCAAGGAUUGGUCGUGUUGCGGGGAAUAAAGACCUCUACCUUGGAACAUUU